rnacentral:rRNA from 1 species
CACGUAGGGGGCGAGCGUUGUCCGGAUUUAUUGGGCGUAAAGAGCUCGUAGGCGGCUCAGUAAGUCAGGUGUGAAAACUCCAGGCUCAACCUGGAGACGCCACCUGAUACUGCUGUGGCUAGAGUCCGGUAGGGGAGCAUGGAAUUCCUGGUGUAGCGGUGAAAUGCGCAGAUAUCAGGAGGAACACCGGUGGCGAAGGCGGGUCUCUGGGCCGUUCCUGACGCUGAGACGCGAAAGCUAGGGGAGCGAACAGG